UGUUGUAAUGACCCCUCCCCUUACACCCCUUUUGGCCCCACCCACUAUCACUGUCCCAUCACCUCACCUGUGUUAUCUUCUCUGAUUUACCCCCGUGACUCUGCACUGACCCUGAAACACCUGAAAUAUGUAGGUCAGGUGUCCAAAUUUGAUGUGUCAACCCAGAUUUGACCUUGAAAGUGUCCCAGGGGAUGGGACAGUUUGGUGUCGACACUGACAGACACCACAGGGUAUGACCAUAAAUACGCCCUCAGCCGACAGACCGGGAGUAAAAAGGAUAAGAGGAAAGGAGGAAGGAGGGGAAGAGGAAACAAGGACAUGAAAGAAGGAUGAACAGGAGAGGAGGAGGAAACACAGAAGGAGACAAGGAAACAUGAGAGGAUAAGAAAGAAACAAAGAGAGGAGACAAGGAAACAUGAGAGGAUAGUUAAAAAACAGAACGAAACAAUGAGAGGAGACAAGGAAAGUACAAAGACACGUUUAUACAUGAAUGACUAGGAGUCUGGUUAUAUCUGUGGCUUUAGUGGAUGUCAGUCAUCGAAAAAAUAUUAAAAACACACACAAAAAUAAAUGAAUAUGCAUCUGUGGGUGGUUUAGAAAGACUUCGCAGACACAGAAAAAGGAAUUAUAGGAAAUGUUGACCUUCAGAAAACAGCAGAAUUUUCCUUUAAAAGCUUAACUCAAACACACACAGCAGAGACAGACAGACACACACACACACACACACACAAAAAGACACACACACAAACAGAGCCUGUGGUUACCUGUGGUGG